GCAGAAAAAUCUGCUUUAAUGGAAUUGUUGAAUUAUAUUUAAUUUUAGUAAAAUAAUUAUGUAAAAGCCUUCAGCUCAUUUCAAAAUUAUUCUCUUCAUUUAUUUUUAAUAUUUAUUUAAAUUCCUGGAUUUUGUUUUAAGAGCCUGUUCCUUCAGGAACCCAUGCAAUCAAAGAUCGGUACCUAGCUGAACAACAGGCUGUCUGGUCAGCUGGGCCCAGACGCCCAGUGACACUUCCUGGCCCAUGACCUUGGGGCAAAUGCUCAACUAGUCCUACCCGCAGGGUGGAGCCACACUGAACCUGGGGCUCCAUACUUUCUUGGCCAGGGGCCAAGAUAACCUCGUCAAUAAGGGACACAUUCCUGGGAUGCCCUAAGGUCUUUCUAUCUGUUCACAGAGGUCUUAUACUCACAAGUUCAAGCCCAGUGAGCGAUGUUCACAUUAUCAAACUCUGCAUCUCAAUAGAAACCCUGAUAGCAAAGCGUUGGUUUGUUUUUGAAGCAUUUGAACCAGCAACAGUCAUCAUUGGAGUUUCUGGCAUGUCUAUGGUGUGGAACCCUCAGUCUAUGAACAUCAUAACAGUACAUGAACCAGCAGCAGUCAUCAUCUCAAGAUUCUGGUAUAUCCAAGGUACAGGACCCUUGGUCUGUACAGAUCUUG